UACGUAGGUGGCGAGCGUUGUCCGGAUUUACUGGGCGUAAAGGGAGCGUAGGCGGACUUUUAAGUGAGAUGUGAAAUACCCGGGCUCAACUUGGGUGCUGCAUUUCAAACUGGAAGUCUAGAGUGCAGGAGAGGAGAAUGGAAUUCCUAGUGUAGCGGUGAAAUGCGUAGAGAUUAGGAAGAACACCAGUGGCGAAGGCGAUUCUCUGGACUGUAACUGACGCUGAGGCUCGAAAGCUAGGGGAGCAAACGGGAUUAGAUACCCCCGUAGU
rnacentral:rRNA from 1 species